ensembl:lncRNA
CGGAGUCCCACAGCUCCCAUCUCACCCCCUCACCUGGUGAGCUGCAGCAGUCCCCAGUUUGUACGGAUCGGUGUUCCGGCUCUGCCACUGUCAUCCCAUGGCAGGUGAUGUAAACCAUGCAAGCUAGUCAAUUUUGAAAACAAAAAUUACAAGCCUAAAAGUGACUGAAUACCAGCAACUUGGGUCUCCACUGCCUGUGUCUCUACUGCCUGUGUCUGCUAUGGUAAAUAUAAUAGAAAUAAUAAUAUUUAUUGUUAUUCAAAUGGCCAACAAAUUUUACCAGUCUACAUAAAUGAAUAUUGUUACCUCCACAUUAAUACUAGAAUCGGGCUGCUCCACUCCUCAUCCGCUCGUACCUGAGUUUCAAUCCCAUGAACAGUCCCGUACUUCAUUACACUGUCCAGGGACAGGAAAAAAAAUGCUGAUCCUAGCAAAGAAUUCUGCACAUAUGUGACCAACUGCUCUGUAGAGUGUAUAUUCGACAACCCAGAGUUCUGCUGGUGUGACAUACAACCAUUAAAUUACCUAAAACUUUUCAUCAGCUAGAGACCUUUUUCUACUUAUGUCAUUUGUAAGUAUACUCUAAUUUUUGCUGACUGGAUCCCUAUUUUGGGAAGUGGAUACAUGUCCACAACUCCUUAUUUUUUUUUCCAGAUUUUUCAUGGCAUUUUAUUAUCUCAAAAACAAAAAACAGUACUGCUGAACAUCUGUGUUUUUCCAGCAUACUUACUAAGUUAUUUAUAUGUAAAAGUAUACAAUUAAGACUAUUUGGAAGGAUUUAUCAGUAUAUAAAAAUGCAUAAAUAGUUCAGUUUAUAUUAUCCAACUAUUAUUUUUAAUAAAGAGCCACUGUAUUUCUUCAUUAUAUAUGCUCAAGGAUAUAUGUUUAUCCAAGUCCAGGGACUUAAUCAGUAUUCUUAAUAGCUAAUGACAACAGACAGGGUUUAUUUAAAUUUUUAAAAAAAUAAUUAAACAAAUAUGUAGUGAUCUCUUACAGUUUAUAUAUGUUGUAGUAUGGCAUAAAUAUGAUAAUUCCAUUUCAGAAUAUUUGAAAGCAAAUGUAUACUAUAAACUAUUUAGUAUAAAUGAAAUAUGAACUACUGUUAUAAAAUGACUGCAUUGAAUGAAUGUAUAACUACAUUUCUUCUCUAGAAAGAUUAAUAAACCAAUAUUAACGACUUCUCUCUUGAGAUGUUUUACAAUUUUCCAAAUUAAUAAGACUAUGCUAAAUUAAAGUUUGAUUCCAUUGUUCAGCAUACAAACAAGCUAAUUCUUAAUUAACCUUAAGGUGCUUAGCCAUGCUGUUUCAGUUUUUAUUGUAACUCUGGGAUUCCUAAAUAUAUUUAUUUUUGGUGAUACUCUAUUCCCAGCUGUUAGUUACUUGAAGGGAACUUCACAACAUUAUUUUUGCAACAUUAUAAGUAAAACUGGGAACAGCUGAUAUGGAACACCAAACUCAGAACCAUUUUAACCUUUAGUCAAUUUUACAACUUUUAAAAAUCCUUAUUAAAACAGCACCUAAGUAAGUAAGGUUCAGCCUCUUCUACUGAGUUUCACACACUUUAGUAAUGGUCAAUAAACUUUAUUCUCAGAUAUAUAUUCAAAGAUUUUAAGGAAAAAAAUACAUUGUCUUUCAUAAAUUUUUAAGUUAACAUCUGAAUUUUUUUACUAGCACUAUAAAUGAUUACAAUAGAUGUCAUUUUCCUGUGUGU